GGGUAGAGGGAGUUUAUAGGCCAAAAUUAGGACAGGAUGAGAGGGAUAGAGAUCGGAGGGAUUGGUAUUUCAGAUGAGGAGGAAAGAUGUGGAGGGAGAGGACGAGGGCACUGGAGUAGAGCGAAGGAAGGGAGGCAGGAAGGAGAGGACGUAGGGCAGGAGGGAUGGCAUUAAAUGGAAUGGCACUACAGACGAAGGGAGAGGGCUGGCAUAGGAUGUGUGUCUAUAUACGCAUAUGUAUGUAUAUGCACUGUUCGUUCAUGUAGGAUUGGCAUUGACAUCUAUGAAUGAUGAAUGCAGAUACGGAUUGUGCUGUGAAGAACACCUGCAGUGACUUCACUUCAAGUGUUAUCGCAGACGGGACUGACCGCAGUGGCAUAUGCUUUGCUGACAAUCUUUUCACCAGUUGCCUGGAUUUGGCUAUUCGAGCACUUGACACAGAUUUCAUACAAGGAAUUAAAACAGGCACACUUGAUCCUACGGUUUACAAAGACUAUGCAACUCAAGACGCAGUUUAUGUAUACAGUGGGGCUUCUUUGUUGUCAUCUCUCAUUACUGUCUGUAAGCACGAAAAUUUGGAAGAUUUGGAGAUGUUUGCGUCUGCAGAGCUAGAGUUAUGGUCAGAUGUGGCUACCAAUAUGCUUACGCAGUGGCACAUUACUGAUCCGUCAAAUGUUGUUUUGAACAGCGCCGCCGCAGGGUACAAGAAUUUUAUGGAAAAGGCUUUUCUAACACUGCCACCUUAUAAUGCGAUUAUUGCAUUGCUGCCCUGUAACAGACUAUGGAAUUGGCUGGGAGAGCAGUUGUUGCCGUACGUAAGUGCUACCAACAGUUACUCGUUUUGGAUUGUGCAGCAAAAUGCUAAUGCCAACAACAGAUGGAGUUCCUUUGUGGAUACACACGCAUCUAAAACAAAAAAGUGAAUGUAUCUAUGUACUGUAUGGACAAUAAUUGCUCAUGCGCCUCUACCACACCGUUGCAAGGAUUGAGCUGUAUACUUUUAUGUAGAUUGGAUCAUGGUAAAGCCUUUGAAAUAUUUCGUAAAGGAAUGGAGCAUGAAGUAGAAUUCUUCAUUUCAGUGCACCCAGAAAAGGAGAGCGAAUGACGUUAGAGUGAAAUCAACAUUGUCAACGUUUACUAAAUUCUUGCAUACAAUAGUUUCUAUAUCUAAUAGAAUUGUGUCUAUUGAUUAGUAAUUUUUAGUACAAGAACGGUAACCAUUUAUAAUAUAAUCAAUAAAUUAG